UUAAGCAUAUCAAUAAGCGGAGGAAAAGAAACUAACAAGGAUUCCCCUAGUAACUGCGAGUGAAGCGGGAAAAGCUCAAAUUUUGAAUCUGGCAGUCUUAACUGGCUGUCCGAAUUGUAAUCUAGAGAAGCGUCUUCCGCGCUGGACCAUGUACAAGUCUCCUGGAAGGGAGCGUCAUAGAGGGUGAGAAUCCCGUCUUUGACAUGGACUACCAGGGCUUAUGUGUUGCGCUCUCGACGAGUCGAGUUGUUUGGGAAUGCAGCUCAAAAUGGGUGGUAAAUUCCAUCUAAAGCUAAAUACUGGCAAGAGACCGAUAGUGAACAAGUACCGUGAGGGAAAGAUCAAAAGAACUUUGAAAAGAGAGUUAAACAGUACGUGAAAUCGCUGAAAGGGAAACGCUUGAUGUCACUCGCGUUAGCUAGGGGUCAACCUUGCUUCAUUGCUCGGCGUAAUUCCUAGUUGACGGGUCAGCAUCAGUUUCGGUCGUCGUACAUGGGCAAAUGGAAAGUAGCCAUUUCUAUGGUGUUAUAGACUUUUGUCGGUUGCGCACGGUUGGGACUGAGGAGAGCUCUGCAUGGUUA
rnacentral:rRNA from 1 species